rnacentral:rRNA from 1 species
CAGCAGCCGCGGUAAUACAGAGGGUGCAAACGUUGUUCGGAAUUACUGGGCGUAAAGCGCGUGUAGGCGGCUAUGUAAGUCGGGCGUGAAAUCCCACGGCUCAACCGUGGAAGUGCACCCGAAACUGCGUAGCUAGAGUCCUGGAGAGGAAGGUGGAAUGCUUGGUGUAGAGGUGAAAUUCGUAGAUAUCAAGCGGAACACCGGUGGCGAAGGCGGCCUUCUGGACAGUGACUGACGCUGAGACGCGAAAGCGUGGGGAGCAAACAGGAUUAGAUACCCUGGUAGUCCACGCCGUAAACGAUGAGUGCUAGGUGUCACGGGCUUUGACCCUCGUGGUGCCGAAGCUAACGCGUUAAGCACUCCGCCUGGGGAGUACGGCCGCAAGGCUAAAACUCAAAG